CACCUCCGCCUCACCACUACCACCGCCACCAACUCCUCUUCCUCCACCGCCUCUACCUCACACUUUUUUUUUAAAAUAGUUUAAAAACAGGUAAAAUUAAAUAUAUUUCUAUUUUUAAAUAAUUUAAAAAAAAGUGAACGCAACAUACUUUUAGUUUCUGUUUUACAAAAAUCUAAACAAAACUAAACAAACAUAAAAAAAAUAAAAAAAUAAAAAUGUUACCAAACAUCCCCAAACGUCCAAAACCAAUGCAAAGGUUGACUCAAAGUUGGAUAAUUUACCCACUUAAUAGACCCUCCGUCCAUCCUAUUUUGUUCGGAUUUUUUGAGAUGUUUGAAAAUAUUUGCUCAUUUUUAAAAGUUAAUAAAGGGAAAAAUAUUAUAGAUUUUCUACUUUACUCUUUCAGUUUUAAAUUGAGGUG
rnacentral:lncRNA from 1 species